UCCCAUUUGAGGUAACUAAAAGCAAAUUUUAUCAUCUUACUUAGACCUAUAAUAAUAGAUCAUUUACUCACUUACCUCUGACCUUCCUAUGAAAACCCAGCAUAUGACACCUCAAGACCGAAGCUAAGGGUCUGCUAUACAUAAGACCCAAAGCUUGGAGCCUCUUUCUCCCUCUCUCUCAUAUCCUCUCAUUAUCUCCCCUCUUCCAACGCCUUGAUCCACAGCUCCUCACUUUGUAGUAAACAAGCUCACAAUACCACGUCGAACCAGCAAGCCAGAGUUGUCACUAAAAAGUAUCCCACCCUCGACUCUGUUAUUCUACUGUGAUGUUAUUUUGAUGCAUAAAAUUUAUAUACCUACAAUGCAUCAAAUAUUUUUCUAUUUUCUUUUCGAAAACUGCCAAAUACAUUAAUUGUUUUUAUGCCUGUGAAAAAUCCGAUUGAUUCCAAGUUUAUCAUAAAAA